rnacentral:pre_miRNA from 1 species
AUAACAACAUUCGGACCGUCGGUCUACCGAGCAAUAUCACCCGCUCGGUGGAAGAUCUUCCCUCCGUCGUUAAGC